rnacentral:rRNA from 1 species
UACGUAGGGUGCAAGCGUUAAUCGGAAUACUGGGCGUAAAGCGUGCGCAGGCGGUGAUGUAAGACAGUUGUGAAAUCCCCGGGCUCAACCUGGGAACUGCAUCUGUGACUGCAUCGCUGGAGUGCGGCAGAGGGACUGGAAGUUCAUGGUGUAGCAGUGAAAUGCGUAGAGAUCAUGAGGAAGACCAGUGGCGAAGGCGGGUCUCUGGACAGUUCCUGACACUGAGACACGAAGGCCAGGGGAGCAAACGGG